rnacentral:rRNA from 1 species
AGUGAACGCUGGCGGCAGGCCUAAUACAUGCAAGUCGAACGGCAGCACAGCAGAGCUUGCUCUGUGGGUGGCGAGUGGCGGACGGGUGAGGAAUACAUGGGAAUCUGCCCAGUCGUGGGGGAUAACGUAGGGAAACUUACGCUAAUACCGCAUGCGCCCUUCGGGGGAAAGCCGGGGACCUUCGGGCCUGGCGCGACUGGAUGAGCCCAUGUCGGAUUAGCUAGUUGGCGGGGUAAAGGCCCACCAAAGCGACGAUCCGUAGCUGGUCUGAGAGGAUGAUCAGCCACACUGGAACUGAGACACGGUCCAGACUCCUACGGGAGGCAGCAGUAGGGAAUAUUGGACAAUGGGCGCAAGCCUGAUCCAGCCAUGCCGCGUGAGUGAAGAAGGCCUUCGGGUUGUAAAGCUCUUUUGUCCGGAAAGAAAAGCAUCCAGUUAAUACCUGGGUGUCCUGACGGUACCGGAAGAAUAAGCACCGGCUAACUUCGUGCCAGCCGCCGCGGUAACAC